CCUUUGGGGAGAGGCCGUGGGCAUGGCUUCACUUUUCAGCUGGAUUAUAAAGGAUGUGAAGUUAGCCUGACUGAGCAGAAGGGGAGGGAAGACAGCACUCCAGGAAAGUGGAACGAACAACAGAGUCCAAAGGGCCCUCCAGCCUACCCACUCCCAAGUACCUGGAAGAAGCUCUCCACGUGUUCCCUUGGGGCCUCCUCCCGGAGUGCAGGGUCAUACAGGUUGAAGGCCCAAUUAAGCCUGUCAUCUACAGUUCCCCGAAGAAUCACGGACAAACCAGCCACAAAGUCCUGGGAAGGAGGCAGGAGGGAGCUGUGUCCUCGGGUACUCUUCACCCAACUCCUUCUCUGGGUUUGGCCUGGAGAUCCUGGCCCUGAACUCCAGGAAACAGGCUUCCCUGGCCCACCUCGCCCAGCUCACCUCAAA